GUACACCUCAUCAAUCGCGAAGGAAUCCCUUCCGGUUGAUGAGGUUGUUACACCUCAUCAAUCGGAAGGAAUCCAUUCCGGUCCUCAUCAAUCAGAAGGGAUUCCUUCCGAUCGAUGAGGUGUAACAACCUCAUCGACCAGAAGGGAUUCCUUCCAGUCGAUGAGGUGUAA
rnacentral:miRNA from 1 species